rnacentral:rRNA from 1 species
GUUAGGAAUCUUCCACAAUGGGGGCAACCCUGAUGGAGCAACACCGCGUGCUGGAUGAAGGCCUUCGGGUCGUAAACAGCUUUUGUAUACGAAGAAUAUGACGGUAAUAUACGAAUAAGGGUCGGCUAACUACGUGCCAGCAGCCGCGGUCAUACGUAGGACCCAAGCGUUAUCCGGAGUGACUGGGCGUAAAGAGUUGCGUAGGCGGCUUAUUAAGAGAGUAGUGAAAUCUGGUGGCUCAACCAUCAACACAUUGCUCGAACUGAUAGGCUUGAGAAUGGUAGAGGUAGUUGGAAUUUCUUGUGUAGGAGUGAAAUCCGUAGAUAUAAGAAGGAACACCAAUGGCGUAGGCAGACUACUGGACCAUUUCUGACGCUGAGGCACGAAAGCGUGGGGAGCGAACCGGAUUAGAAACCCCGGUAGUCC